rnacentral:lncRNA from 13 species
UCUCUCGUUACGACUUUAAUAGCUAUUGAUAUUAAGAGAAAAGAAUAUUAAUACGUUUCUGUCAAUUCAAUCUUUAAACAGCAUAACUCGAAAGUACAUUUCUUUCUAAAACAACAAGAAUGAUCAUUGUUUCGAAGUAGAGACGCGAAUGGUUUUUAAGUAACGAGCAACUGACAAUUACAAAGGUUUUUAACGAAUUGAAUUUUAAGAAAUGUAAGUAAUGGAAUUUUUAUAACUUUAAGACUUCUUAUAUUUUUAUCGUUUGAGAAUGUUAGUAAUGGAAUUCUUGCAACUUUUACGCUUCUUACACUUUUAUUGCUAGGUACUCAAGUGAUGGAUCAAAAAUUAAAAAGCCACGCGUAAUUUCUUCGAGCAAACUCUCAACAAUCUCAUACAUUUUUAAUAUAAAAAAACAACAGUCAAUCUUCUUCCCACUCGAAUAGUAUUGUAUUCUCCUUCUUCUAGUACUCUUGAAUACCGAAUGCACGUAGAAUUUUCAAUUCAGACAAGAAUUUGACGAAUAUGGCGCGAAAGAAGACGUUAACGAUGCUCAUCCGCGCGUACGCGAGCUUACGCGAGGACAAAAAGUCGGGCGGAACAAAAGCGGAAGAGAGAGAGCGCGCGCGCGCGGGGUCGAGCGGACACAGAGAGAAGGAAGAGAGCAGAAAAGAAAGAGGAUUGCACGGAAGGAAGAGAGGGUGAACGAACAACGGUGGAGGAUCGGGGAGGCGGCUGAAGAGGACGAGGGCGAAGGGUAGGCAACAAGAUCGAUAAACCAAGAUGGCGACGCGUAUUGCCGCAGAGUACCGCAGCCCGGCUCUCGACCGUCAGAUCAUCCUCGGCGUGUGUAGCUUUUACACGCACGCACACACCAACGUCCAUUAACGGGAUACAUACACCGGUGUGCAGCAUCAUCGUAAUCGUAACAGAGCGCUUCCUCCCACGGAACUCCCGAGAGAGGACAAGCUGAUUCGUCGUCGUCGUCAUCGUCGCGCAAACGGAGUCAUUACGAUCGUGAGGCUUCAAGAGAUGCGACCCCGGAGGGUAUUUACGGGCGAUAGCUGUUCGAGAGUGCCCAAAGCGUUUAUAAAGUCCCAUCAAACCCUCCGAAGGAAACCGUGGCCCGACCGCCACGUCAAUCACAAUCGCGGAAGAGCUGUAAGAACGAAUCCACGCUAGGCACGUGUCCGUGCAACUUCCGCUGCAAGAUAAGGCUCGCCGAAGAGCAUCGUCCUGAACAAGAAAGAACGCUCGGCUUUAACACUCACUUUGUGUCGCGUGACUAACUAUAUCCGCGACAUGCGAUUCCGCGGCUGUUUGCAAGAGGGAAGCGGUCGACUUCCGAGCUCUGCUUUUACUCGUGAAAAAAGAAGAGCAGAGUAACAUGUGGACUUAAUGCGCCACUGUAUUUGUUGAACGUGGGACGAGAUAAUAAAACAGUCUUUUAUAUUCCACCACAAUCUAAAGCAUCCUCAAUAAAGGCGGAACUAUGAAUAUUUAUAUGGUACGUCAUAAAAAUAUUCAGCGUGAUUUAAUAAGGAUAUUAACAAGUCCAAAAAAUAGAGGAAAGACUAUCUUUCCUCUCUUAUUUUCUUAUUUAACAAAUAGGGCAAAACAAUCACAAAGACACUAAAAGAAAAACAACUAAAAACAAGUUCACUUCUUCGUGAAACUUGCUGAAUCAACGGUGUUGGGCUUAAAUCGUCCCAGAUCCUUAAUAGUUACUUAAUACUUUCCAAUUUGAUUUCCUGACUGCGAUUGCGUCAUUUAUCAAGCCAUUCUUUAAAUCCGAAUCAAUGAAAUCUUAUUGAUUUGCAGAGUUAUACUGUGAAAGUCAGUGACUAUACACCGCCUACCAAUGAAUCCGAUUAUAAGAGAGAUAUGCUCACUGAUUGGAAUUAAUGUGUUCUCAUUGAAAGACAGUGCACAUACCACUGAUUGAUAUAAGUAUAGCAGUGACAUCAGACUGCUGUCUUUCAGCGAAUAAUACAUUUAUUCCGAUUUAAAGCAUAAGUACUUCGUCUUAUCUCCAGACGGGUAUGAGAUAGUAUCAAUAAUGCGAUGAUAUGAACGAGUGAAAUAUUCGGCAUAAAGGGGAACAACAUAUUGAUGAAAACAGAUCAAACAUUGAAUCGCAAAGCAGAACAAAAGGCGAGUGAGAGAGAGAGAGCGAGAGUAGGGACGAUAUAAACCCACGAGUAAACACGUUUCCUAACAUCGCUCGUGCUGUUCGAGCUCUUCGAAGUGGACACAGAUAUAAAGCAGGACACGUGAUUGUGUGAGGAGAGACGACUCGAUUUCAAUAGCUCACGCGCGCGAGGAGAGCCAUUUCUAUAAAACAGUACGUUCAGUAUGAACAUCCGCCUUCGCAUUUUUGCCUCCACCAAGUCUAUUCACCAGCGCUUUUUUGACGUUCGCGGAAUUAGCAGAUUCUUAGCGAGUUGGCUAUUUAAGUUAAUAAGGGAUUACGCGUACAAUCUCUUUGUAUAAUAAAAAAAGAGUCUGCCAUUUGCAGAGAUAAGCGGCAUGGGUAACGGCUCCUCAUCAUGUAAAGAAGUAUCUACACGAUUUUGUGGAAGAACUAAAAAAUUUAGCUAAAUAAAUUCAAAAAUGACUUUUUGGAUCAAACAAAAUAAUUAUGUGAGACACUCAAGCAUGAUGAGCGAAGUGCAAAAAGUUUUGACACUCUAGCGAACAAUUUGAGUGACAUAAUUGUUCUAAUGGUCCAACAAAAUUAUUUUCAGAUCUUCAUGUAACUAAAUGUUUAGAUAU